GAUACGGUUAGCCGGUUCGGGCCGGUACGGGUUUUUAACACCGAACCAGACCGUUCGGAGCCAGUAUCGGUUCGGUACGGGCUGAACCGGCCGGCGAGGCAUUUUUGGAAGGUCUACUACACUGCUGACAACCAAUCUGCAUUCAUUCUUCUCUAGCAAUUGGCGGGGAACAUCUGGAAGUGGCGAAUUUGAGCCUCUUUUCCUUUCCCAUUUGCCUUCUAAUUUCUUGUUUUUUGAAGAUUAUUAUUUUUUAAGGCAUCUUUAAU